CCAAAGGCUCUUUUCAGAGCCACUCACUGAGUCAGAAAAGUGGCUG
rfam:Heterocephalus glaber contig233959, whole genome shotgun sequence.